AUUGAACGCUGGCGGCAGGCCUAACACAUGCAAGUCGAGCGAGCGGCGGACGGGUGAGUAAUGUAUGGGGACUGCCCGAUAGAGGGGGAUCACUUCUGGAAACUGUCGCUAAUACCCCAUUCUCUCGGAUACCCCAUAUGGGAUUCGAUAGGAGGUGGGGUAACGGCUCACCUAGGCGACGAUCUCUAGCUGGUCUGAGAGGAUGCUCAGCCAAACUGGGACGGAGAACCGGCCCAGACUCCUACGGAGGAAGCAGUGGGGAAGAUUGCACAAUGGGCGCAAGCCUGAUGCAGCCAUGCAGCGUGUAUGAAGAAGGCCUUAGGGUUGUAAAGUACUUUCAGUGGGGAGGCGUUACCGACAGAAGAAGCACCGGCUAACUCCGUGCCAGCAGCCGCGGUAAUUC
rnacentral:rRNA from 1 species